UAGGGAAUCUUCGGCAAUGGGGGCAACCCUGACCGAGCAACGCCGCGUGAGUGAAGAAGGUUUUCGGAUCGUAAAGCUCUGUUGUAGGUCAAGAACGGGUGUGAGAGUGGAAAGUUCACACUGUGACGGUAGCUUACCAGAAAGGGACGGCUAACUACGUGCCAGCAGCCGCGGUAAUACGUAGGUCCCGAGCGUUGUCCGGAUUUAUUGGGCGUAAAGCGAGCGCAGGCGGUUUGAUAAGUCUGAAGUUAAAGGCUGUGGCUCAACCAUAGUUCGCUUUGGAAACUGUCAAACUUGAGUGCAGAAGGGGAGAGUGGAAUUCCAUGUGUAGCGGUGAAAUGCGUAGAUAUAUGGAGGAACACCGGUGGCGAAAGCGGCUCUCUGGUCUGUAACUGACGCUGAGGCUCGAAAGCGUGGGGAGCGAACAGGAUUAGAUACCCUGGUAGUCCACGCCGUAAACGAUGAGUGCUAGGUGUUGGAUCCUUUCCGGGAUUCAGUGCCGCAGCUAACGCAUU
rnacentral:rRNA from 1 species